UAAGACUUGUUUAUCUUCAUGGGACCGGUUGUUAUCUUGCCUCCCUCUGUUCCUUUGUUUCUUUCCAAGCAGAGAUUUGUCAUGUAUAGGCAGUGAUAGCAGAGCAGCAACUUAACACAUUUACAGGAAACAAACACCAAUAAAAAGAGUCAAAUUAAAAAGGUUGAGGAGUAGUUUGUUAACAAAUAUAAGUGGAGGCAGAGUUUAUACCAAAAUAACAAAAAAAAAAGUCUAUCUCUUGAAAAGUUGGAUCAGAUGCAUCAUUUUAUGCACAACAUCACACAUUAAAAAAAUCUAACAUAAA
rnacentral:lncRNA from 1 species